rnacentral:rRNA from 1 species
CCUGACUGCUAUCGGAUUGAUACUAAGCCAUGCGAGUCAUUGUAGCAAUACAAGGCAGACGGCUCAGUAACGCGUAGUCAAUCUACCCUAUGGACGGGAAUAACCUCGGGAAACUGAGAAUAAUGCCCGAUAGAACAUUAUACCUGGAACGGUUUAUGUUUCAAAUGAUUUAUCGCCGUAGGAUGGGACUGCGGCCUAUCAGUUUGUUGGUGAGGUAAUGGCCCACCAAGACUAUUACAGGUACGGGCUCUGAGAGGAGUAGCCCGGAGAUGGGUACUGAGACACGGACCCAGGCCCUAUGGGGCGCAGCAGGCGAGAAAACUUUGCAAUGUGCGAAAGCACGACAAGGUUAAUCCGAGUGGUUUCUGCUAAAGAAACCUUUUGCUAGUCCUAGAAACACUAGUGAAUAAGGGGUGGGCAAGUUCUGGUGU